UGUGCCUCCCGCCUGAGGUCUCGUGAUGUUGGUCAUAAGGUCUCUAGUGCCGACUGAGCCAGCAGCUGCGUUUGGAGCAUGGCCUCGGAGCAGGAUGUGCGAGCACAGCUGCAGCGCGCUGGCCAGGAUCAUCUCCUUCGCUUCUGGGGUGAUUUGGCUCCGGAGUCUAGAGCGGCGCUACUGGCGGAGCUCGCCUCACUGGAACCCGAUGCCCUGCGUGAGCACUGCCAGCGCGCCUCGGCUGCCUGCGCGCAAGUCCCGGGCCCUCUGCCCGACCUGGAGGCGCGCCUGCAGCCCCUGCCCCCGGAACUCGUAGGCAGCGCGAUCCGCUGCGACCUAGAGACACGCCUGCGGUGGGAAGAGGAAGGUUUCCGACAGAUUGCUCUGAACAAGGUGGCUGUCCUGCUGCUGGCCGGUGGGCAGGGCACUCGCUUGGGCGUCACCUACCCCAAGGGCAUGUAUCAAGUAGGGUUGCCCAGCCAGAAGACCCUGUACCAACUGCAGGCAGAGCGGAUCCGCCGCGUUGAACAGUUGGCUGGCCAGCGACUGGGAACCCACUGCACCGUGCCCUGGUACAUCAUGACCAGUGAGUUCACACUGGGACCCACCAUCGAGUUCUUCAAGGAGCAUGACUUCUUCCACCUAGACCCCGAUAACGUGGUCCUGUUCGAGCAGCGUAUGCUACCCGCUGUGACCUUUGAGGGCAAGGCCAUACUGGAACGGAAAGACAAAGUUGCUAUGGCGCCAGAUGGCAAUGGUGGCUUGUAUAGUGCACUGGCUGACCACCAGAUCCUUCAGGACAUGAAGCAGCGGGGCGUGGAGUUUGUGCACGUGUAUUGUGUGGACAACAUCCUGGUGCGGCUGGCUGACCCAGCCUUCAUAGGCUUCUGUGUGCUUCGCGGAGCAGACUGUGGCGCCAAGGUGGUGGAGAAAGCAUACCCCGAGGAGCCUGUGGGCGUGGUGUGCCAGGUGGAUGGUGUCCCCCAGGUGGUGGAAUACAGCGAGAUUAGCCCUGAGACUGCUGGGCUGCGAGGGGCUGACGGGAGCUUGCUCUACAAUGCAGGCAACAUCUGCAACCAUUUCUUCACCCGCGACUUCCUGGAUAUGGUCACCAGGGAGUUUGAGCCCUUGCUGAAGCUGCAUGUGGCUGUGAAGAAGGUCCCGUACGUGGAUGAGGAGGGAAAUCUGGUAAAGCCGCUAAGACCGAAUGGGAUAAAGAUGGAGAAGUUUGUGUUUGAUGUGUUCCAGUUUGCUAAGAACUUCGCUGCCUUUGAAGUAUCUCGAGAGGAGGAAUUUUCCCCACUGAAGAACGCAGACACAGCCAGCAGGGACAACCCGUCCACCUCCAGGAGAGCCUUGUUGACUCAGCACUACCGCUGGGCUCUGCAGGCCGGAGCCCACUUCCUGGAUGAGCAUGGAGUCCAACUUCCUGAGCAAUCUGGCUUGCUCCCAAAUGGAGACCCUCCAGCCAUCUGUGAGAUUUCGCCCUUGGUGUCAUACUCUGGAGAGGGGCUGGAGAAGUACCUGCAAGGCCAAAAACUCCAGUCUCCAUUUCUUCUGGAUGAGGACCGGGCCAGGCUGCUGCAGCCACACGAAUGCUAACCUGCUUGCUCCCAGCCUCUCCAGCCCUGGGGGGUCCUAGGGUACCGAUACCGCUCUGGCCCAGGCUCUCAGUAGAAAUACUGGCCUGCAGGAUACGGAAGGGCGCAUGCUAGUUUACAUCACAAGGCCUGGAGCAGGAGACGGCCCCUGGGGAGAUCAAAGUCUCAGGCUCUUCUUGAAUAAACAAUG